UACGUAGGGGCCGAGCGUUGUCCGGAGUUAUUGGGCGUAAAGCGCACGCAGGCGGUCUCUUAAGUUUUGAGUGACAGGUGGUGGCUCAACUACCACAGGGCUUGGAAAACUGGGAGACUUGAGGACUUCAGAGGGAUGCGGAAUUCCAGGUGGAGCGGUGAAAUGCGUAGAGAUCUGGAAGAACACCAAAGGCGAAGGCAGCAUCCUGGGAAGUGCCUGACGCUCAUGUGCGAAAGCUAGGGGAGCGAACGGG
rnacentral:rRNA from 1 species